rnacentral:lncRNA from 1 species
GUAUUUCUACAGAUUCAAUAUGUGAAACAUUACUUUAACCGCGAUACUUACAUUCUAACCUUUAAAAGAUUUAUCUAGACAUGGUAACACAAACAAACACCACGGUAUUAAUGAUGAAAAGUUUGUUUUAGAAUGUGAGGCGUAGAGAGCGAGUAAAGUGCGUAAAGUAGAUAAAGUAAAGCGAGUGCGGAAAAUAAAUAAAGUAAAGCGAGUGCAAAAAAUAAAUAAAGUAAUGCGAGUGCGGAAAAUAAAUAAAAUAAAGCGAG